GAUCUCACAUACCUGGAACCACUGACUUUUGAACUUUUCAUUACUUGAAAUAAAUGUUCUUGUUGUUUAGCCACUUUUAGGUGAUAUAUUACGUUCUGGUGAAAGCAUUCUUCCUAAUACAAGCUGAGAGCUUACAGCUAGGAGACAACCUCCAGGAGCAGAGAUCACACACUCUCGGACAGAAAAACAGCUUCUGUAUUCUUCCCUGUUUACCAUUCUGGCAUCAAUUUCAAGUGCUCAGUCCCUCAAGCUCUUUCCUCUUUACAAAAGCCCGGCUACUGCAACAAAGCAUCCUGUCUGCUGUAAGUUUCAAGAGACUCUUUGAAACUACUGACCAUCUUUCUCACUGCAUUCAUGCUGCAACAACCCAAAUCCUGCAAAGCUCUGACUGAAUCAGGAAAGAGUGACCUUGGUAGCUAGUCUCCAAAGAUGGCCACCACCAAUACUUGCCUUCCUGCGAUAUAUAUCAUACUCCUUGUAUCAGGAAGAGAAAUGUAAUUCCCUCCCCAUGAAUCUGGGCUGGACUUAGUGACUUUCUUGGCCAAUAGAAUAUAGCAGAAGGGACAUUCUUGGAUUUGUAAGACUAAGUUGCAG
rnacentral:sRNA from 1 species